rnacentral:rRNA from 1 species
AACGAACGCUGGCGGCAGGCCUAACACAUGCAAGUCGAGCGAGGCCUUCGGGUCUAGCGGCGCACGGGUGCGUAACGCGUGGGAACGUGCCCUUAGGUUCGGAAUAACUCCGGGAAAGGGGUGCUAAUACCGGGUAGUGUCUUCGGGCCAAAGAUUUAUCGCCGUAGGAUGGGCCCGCGUUGGAUUAGGUAGUUGGUAGGGUAAUGGCCUACCAAGCCGACGAUCCAUAGCUGGUCUGAGAGGAUGAUCAGCCACACUGGGACUGAGACACGGCCCAGACUCCUACGGGAAGCAGCAGUGGGGAAUCUUAGACAAUGGGGGAAACCCUGAUCUAGCCAUGCCGCGUGAGCGAUGAAGGCCUUAGGGUUGUAAAGCUCUUUCAGCUGGGAAGAUAAUGACGGUACCAGCAGAAGAAGCCCCGGCUAACUCCGUG